UACGUAGGGUCCGAGCGUUGUCCGGAGUUACUGGGCGUAAAGCGCGCGCAGGCGGCGGUGUAAGCAUGGCGUGAAAGCCCCAGGCUCAACCUGGGAGGGUCGUCGUGGACUGCACCGCUUGAGGGCGGUAGGGGCUGGUGGAAUGCCUGGUGUAGUGGUGAAAUGCGUAGAGAUCAGGCGGAACACCCGUGGCGAAGGCGGCCAGCUGGGCCGUCCCUGACGCUGAAGCGCGAAAGCCAGGGGAGCGAACGGG
rnacentral:rRNA from 1 species